rnacentral:rRNA from 1 species
UGACCUCAGAUCAGAUAAGGAUACCCGCUGAACUUAAGCAUAUCAAUAAGCGAGAAA